GAGGAAUAUUGGUCAAUGGGCGAUGGCCUGAACCAGCCAAGUAGCGUGAAGGAUGACUGCCCUAUGGGUUGUAAACUUCUUUUAUAAAGGAAUAAAGUCGGGUAUGCAUACCCGUUUGCAUGUACUUUAUGAAUAAGGAUCGGCUAACUCCGUGCCAGCAGCCGCGGUAAUACGGAGGAUCCGAGCGUUAUCCGGAUUUAUUGGGUUUAAAGGGAGCGUAGAUGGAUGUUUAAGUCAGUUGUGAAAGUUUGCGGCUCAACCGUAAAAUUGCAGUUGAUACUGGAUGUCUUGAGUGCAGUUGAGGCAGGCGGAAUUCGUGGUGUAGCGGUGAAAUGCUUAGAUAUCACGAAGAACUCCGAUUGCGAAGGCAGCCUGCUAAGCUGCAACUGACAUUGAGGCUCGAAAGUGUGGGUAUCAAACA
rnacentral:rRNA from 124 species